rnacentral:lncRNA from 1 species
CGGCCUUCUGAAGGAUAAAAGCCAGUCUCUAUUCCUGGCAGGCAACUAGCUGGUUAUUCCUCUGAUUGCGUCAUAAAGGGAAAUCUGUAUAUUCACCCCAGAUUUCUAAAAGAAGCAAGAAACUUCAAGUUCACAAAUCAUCUCUCAAGGCAGGUGCCCUGUAUGACAACAAGGUUAUGGCCCUCCCUGUCUUCAGAACAG